UGGACAGCAGACCUUAGAUCAGCUCUUACUGCUUGUUUUCCUCCGGUCUGUGAAAUCUUGCAGAUGCCGUUAGGAGCACCGGAGGACACAGAGGCACAUGAUUUUUUUCAGAGUACCUGUCUCAUGCACUACUGUCAGGAUAUAGUGACGUUUUAUAA